CUAGAAUCCUGAAAUGGGAUAAAUCUCGGGGCCCACGCUGAGCACGCAAGUGUAUCCAAGUUAAGGAUCUGGGGCUGAAAAUGUCUGGCGUCCCUCCUGUGGUGCCUGCUGGGAUUGUACACAUGAGAUUAAGCCUGGAGUGAUCUGGAAAAACUCCCCUCUUUCUCUUGCCUGAAGUAGGCGCAGGUAUUGUGUGUUCUCUUCUUAAACCAUGGAUGUGAGUCUGUGAAGAGCUGGCCCCGAGUGGAUCCGGAGGUCACCGGCGCUUUCCUUCCCACGCUCAGCCCACAGCGUUGCCUCAGUUCUCAGUUCAGUGAACCCCAUAAAAACACUGUUUUAGGUACUUCUCCUGUCUGUCUUUCCAAAGAACCUGCAAAAUGGAGUUGGAUGAAGUAAUCUCUGAGGGUAAUCGCCCUCUCCAACAUCUGGAGUGGACCUUUUUCCCCCUCUAGAGAGGUCUGGGCUGGUGGCGGCUCCUAGGAUCCAGAGAUGCCAGGCUGUGGGCCUGCCUCCUCUUCAUGAGCCCCUCCAGACUCAAAGGGCAUCUGAUUAAGAACCCGAGUGAGUCGAGGCCUCCAGCAGGCCAGGGGCACCGUGAGGGCACAGGAUCCGCAGGGCAGCUAGGCCGUGAAAUCAGUGGUUCACUGGAGGGUUUCUGCCCUCGCAGCCUCCCGGGGCUGCUAGAUAA
rnacentral:lncRNA from 1 species